UAUAUAGUCAUUGUGCACAUGUUCUGUCACUGGAGGAAAGUGUGUGUGGAGGCUUUUGGCUGGUUGGAGUUCAGCAAGGUGACGGCUGAAGGGAAGAAGCUGUUCCUGAGCCUGCUGGUCCUGUAGCGCCUCCCAGAGGGAAGAAGGGCAACCGGUCUGUGGCCGGGGUGAGAGGUCUCCCUGACGAUGCUGAGCGCCCUCUGCUGACACCUCUGGUGCUGGACAGCCUCAGUGGUGGGGAGUGGAGAACCGGUGAUGCGUUUUCACCACCCUCCGCAGUGCUUUCUGGUCCGAGACAGAGCAGUCGUCACGCUGUGAUGUGUUGGUUAGCUCUCGAUGGUGCAGCGGUAGAAGUUUCGUCAGUCUCCUCAGGAAGACUCAGGAAGACGCUGGUGAGCCUUCUUGAUCAGAGGCAAAGUGUUGAGGGCCCCCGGAGAUGUGGACACCCAGAAACUUGAAGCUGGAGACACGUUCAACCUCCGUCCCAUUGAUAUGGAUGGGCGUGUUGCACACCUAAUAUGUUGCUAUUACUAAUAUUACACUAUAUUAUGUUAAUGUUAUAUUGUUUUAUUAAAUUAUAUACUAUAUUACAUCUAUAUUAAUACAGACAAACACUAAGUAACAUUACUUCAUCAUACUAUAUAUUAUUCUGGUUCUGGCUUUAAUCACAAACUGUGUCACUUCACUUGAGACAGUACUGCAGUAUUAGUUUAAGUACAACACUGCUUGCCUUGUAAUUCUGACUUUAAUGGCUCAUGUAUAGUUUAUAUGUUUAUUUCUAUUCUUAUCUUUAUUUUUUUUACUUUUCUCUAUUUAUCUGAACUUUUUUCUCUUUGUGUUGCUGCAACACCUGGGGAUCAAUAAAGUUUGAUCUUAUCUGUAGACUUUUCCCUCAGGCACCAACUGAGUGACUGCAGCUAAUCAGUGCUCGUUAGUCCUGCAGAGAUCAGGAGGUGAAGAGACGAGAGAGCAGUAAAGAGCAGAAGGUUGCCGGACACGUUUAACCUUCCCUUUGGAUUACCUGUGUGUGUGAACGGAGGAGGAGCCCUCUGCGUUAGCGCUCCACUGCAUCAGCGGACUGGCGUAAUUCAAAUGAAUGAGGGAGUUGGGAGACAGCAUGUGAUCUCUUUUGCAUACCGUACAAGGGUCCAGCUGCUACAGGCGCUGCUCAUGACCUGCAGGGGGCUCCUCGAACGCUGGGGCAGGAGUGCUGGAGGUGUGGGCAGCCCGGACACUGCCGACGUGACUGCCCACUCGUGGAGGUCGGACAGGUGAUUCAGGUUGCCGGCUCUCCGACCCCCUUCCCCCGGCCCAGGGGCGACAUACUGUUUCGGGACAGGAGUGAAUGGGAACUUGGUGAUAUCGGCCUCCUCCAGCCCUCGAAGCUGCUCUCCCUCCUGACUGGUCCAGAGUUCCUCCUGUUCCUCUUUAAUGUGUGGGGGCUCUGGGUCCUGGUCCAGACUGGGGCUCCACUCCUGCUGCUCUUCUUUAACAAUCAGUUUUUUGUCAUUUGAGGGUAAAGCUGAAACACAGACAUUAAGUUAUUAAUGUAUAUUUGGAAACUUGAACAUAUACAAUUCCAUGAGACAUGACAAACUCAUCAUGUGAGCUGCUUUGGAAAAUUAAUAGGCAACAAUUUUUAUAAUCUAGGCCAGAGUGCAUCUGUAUACGCCAUUGAAAUGUAAAGAGAUACUUCGGAUUUUUUGAAGUGGGGUUGUAUGAGCUACUAAUCCAUAGUCAGUGUAUUACCUGCUGUAGAUGGCAGUCGGCACUCCCCCAGUGUGGAGAAGCAGAGAGUUGUACUGAUACUCCUGUCUGCUUCUCCAAACUGGGGGCUAUAAUAACUGAUUAUAGCUGCGUUUCAACCGCAGGAACUAUCCCCAGCUACUAGGAACCUUUGGAGGAACUGGGUACGUUUCCACUGCAGGGACCAGGGUCUAAAUUAAGAAAGGAUACAACAGAUGGACUGAUGACGAAUUCCAGACCUUGUUGAGUAUUUUUGCUGCGGACAAAAUCCAGAGGGAAUUGGAAACGGCGACCCGAAAUAAUAAGGUGUAUGCAAAAAUCUCCAGCAAGUUAAGCGAGCUGAACAUUGUACACACCAGGGAACAGUGCCGGGAGAAGAUUAAAAAAAUCAAACAGGAUUACAAGAAAAUCAAGGACCACAACAACAGAAGCAGCUCUGACUGGCACACCAACAAGUGGUUCGACCGCCUGGAUGCGUUGCUGGGUCACAGGCCGGCCUUCUCUGGCUCAGCAGCAACUGCAUUGUUGGAUCCAUGAUGGACGAUACGGAAACAGAUGACCAGUGUGUUAAUUGCUAUAAACAUUACAGAUGAAAUGCACAGUGAACUGCAGGCCGCCGAGACCAGCGUGUUUACUCCUGCGACCACCAGCAGCCCUCAUCCGAUGUCUCCAGCUGAAGCACACAAACGCCGAGGAAAGAGGAAAAGGGAUGCUGACUUCCUUGAUGUGAUGAAGGACAUGGACGAAGCUAACCAGACCGUCCUGCAGCAAGGACAGGGACAGCGGGACCAGUACAUGCAGCUGUUGCUUGAGAGCCAGGCAGAGGAAAGGGAGUUGAGGAGGCAAGAGUUGGCAUUCCUCUAGUCAGAGGAGGAAGAAACCAGACGGCAGCAGGGAGACUUUCAGGACGAGUUUCUGUCUGUUCUUGGCCAGCUUGUACAGUUGCUGAGCCAAAGAAGAAGCUACACUGCCACACCACUGGACUAAAGACUGCUGCUUGCCCCUCUUGUUUUUGUUGUACCUGCUUACUUUACACUUAUUAUAUAAGUUACUAGAAUUAUGCAGCUGUGACAAUUUUUAUUGAUAAAUGGCAGCUACAAUGCAUACACUUUCACACAUCAGCUCUGUAAACAGUAAUCUGACAGGCUACUACAAUGUGUUCAGAAACCUCAUUAGACCUGUACCUGCGUCUAGCCCCUCUGCCUCCACAGUGGAUGGCAGUACACCGUCAGGCUGGUUUAACGUAGUGGCACCCCGUUCUUCUCUGUACUCAUCACCCUUCAUUUCAGAGGUUAUGCAGAAUACAACAUGCUAGCAAAAAGGA